GUCUACAACCGUACUACCCUGAAUGUGCCUGAUCUUGUCAGAUGUUAAAAGCUAAGCAGGGUUGGGCCUGCUUAGUACUUGGAUGGUAGACCACCUAGGAGUACUAGGUGCUGUAGGCG
rnacentral:rRNA from 1 species